GAGCGCGUGCACAUGAGUGAUGACCGUGAGCGCGCGCGGGAGAGAUGCCAGAUCAGCACGCGCUCCGGACCGUCAACAUGGAGCGGCUUUUCCUGUCACGUUCCUGCUGGAAAUAG